AAAAUACGGGUCUGUGGUUGCAAGUCGAGGCCAGUCGCAGGCGAAACGAUCCACAUAAGCAGUCUAUGGGGCUGUGAGCAUGGUGCGGCUUAGAUGUAAGUCCUGCCGGGUAACCGAGAGGAGUAGUAGUGGGGAGCUAUGGGCUUAUGAGCGAACCUUCCAGCAGGCGAGUGUGGGGGCAAAGACCAGGUCAGCCGUAUUAC
ncrna:unclassified sequences raiA RNA